CCUGCGGGUGGCUGCAGUGGGGAAUAUUGGACAAUGGGGGCAACCCUGAUCCAGCCAUGCCGCGUGUGUGAAGAAGGCCCUCGGGUUGUAAAGCACUUUCAGUGAGGAAGAACGCCUGGUGGUUAAUACCCAUCAGGAAAGACAUCACUCACAGAAGAAGCACCGGCUAACUCCGUGCCAGCAGCCGCGGUAAUACGGAGGGUGCGAGCGUUAAUCGGAAUUACUGGGCGUAAAGCGCGCGUAGGUGGCUUGAUAAGCCGGUUGUGAAAGCCCCGGGCUCAACCUGGGAACGGCAUCCGGAACUGUCAAGCUAGAGUGCAGGAGAGGAAGGUAGAAUUCCCGGUGUAGCGGUGAAAUGCGUAGAGAUCGGGAGGAAUACCAGUGGCGAAGGCGGCCUUCUGGACUGACACUGACACUGAGGUGCGAAAGCGUGGGUAGCAAACAGGAUUAGAUACCCUGGUAGUC
rnacentral:rRNA from 1 species